UGGGGAAUAUUGCACAAUGGGCGCAAGCCUGAUGCAGCCAUGCCGCGUGUAUGAAGAAGGCCUUCGGGUUGUAAAGUACUUUCAGCGGGGAGGAAGGUGUUGAGGUUAAUAACCUCAGCAAUUGACGUUACCCGCAGAAGAAGCACCGGCUAACUCCGUGCCAGCAGCCGCGGUAAUACGGAGGGUGCAAGCGUUAAUCGGAAUUACUGGGCGUAAAGCGCACGCAGGCGUUCUGUCAAGUCGGAUGUGAAAUCCCCGGGCUCAACCUGGGAACUGCAUUCGAAACUGGCAGGCUAGAGUCUUGUAGAGGGGGGUAGAAUUCCAGGUGUAGCGGUGAAAUGCGUAGAGAUCUGGAGGAAUACCGGUGGCGAAGGCGGCCCCCUGGACAAAGACUGACGCUCAGGUGCGAAAGCGUGGGGAGCAAACA
rnacentral:rRNA from 1 species